rnacentral:lncRNA from 1 species
UCGGGUCUUUUUUUUCCAACACCAAACCAAGUCAAACCAAACCAUAAUCGGAAUUUUUUUUCGGUUUGACUCGGAUUAUCGGGUUGGUGCGAUUUGUCGGUUUUCUUUGUACACCCCUACUUCUAAGGAUAGAGUUUACAAUAACAAUGGUGUAUUUCAAAUGUCCAUCAACUAGAUUGAUAUGAAAACUGAAGACUAGCAUGCAUACAUAGACCAUAUCAAAUGGCAGUAUAGGUGCUAUUAAUAUUUGUAGACAUAUAAGCAAAGGAUGGGGUGACCUUGUGGCGAAAGCGAGUAGCAUUUGCCUAAGGGCAUGGGACGAGUAUUUUAAGUAAAAGCAAGUGAAAUGUGGUGUAUUAUGGAGUUAGUAUUUCUCUUUGCCAAGACUUCGGAGAGGAAAAAAUGUUGCAGAUAAGUUACUUCCUCAAAAUUCUGUAACCAUUAUGGGACCUAAAAUGCAAAUGAGUUUUCCAAAGAAUUUAAGAACUGCUAACGUUUGGGUGUAUUUAUCAGUCCAUGAUAUUAACCGAGAGGUUGCUCUGAUGGUAAGCAACCUCCACUUCCAACCGAGAGGUUGUGAGUUCGAG